GUCCACGCCCUAAACGAUGUUAACUCGAUAUUUAUUCUUCGGAGUGAGUGUCCAAGCGAAAGCGUUAAGUUAACCACCUGGGGAGUACGUUCGCAAGAAUGAAACUCAAAUGAAUUGACGGGGGUCCGCACAAGCGGUGGAGCAUGUUGUUUAAUUCGAUGAUACGCGAGGAACCUUACCUAGGCUAGAAUGCGAGUGCCGAUUCCUGAAAGGGAAUUUUCCUUCGGGACACAAAGCAAGGUGCUGCAUGGCUGUCGU
rnacentral:rRNA from 1 species